UACCGAGGUCUCAAGCGUUGUUCGGAAUUACUGGGCGUAAAGGGCUCGUAGGCGGCCAACUAAGUCAGACGUGAAAUCCCUCGGCUUAACCGGGGAACUGCAUCUGAUACUGGAUGGCUUGAGUUCGGGAGAGGGAUGCGGAAUUCCAGGUGUAGCGGUGAAAUGCGUAGAUAUGGGGAGGAACACCGGUGGCGAAGGCGGCCAUCUGGACGGUAACUGACGCUGAGACGCGAAAGCUAGGGGAGCGAACAGG
rnacentral:rRNA from 1 species